AAUGAACGCUAGCUACAGGCUUAACACAUGCAAGUCGAGGGGUAGCAGGGUAGCAAUACCGCUGACGACCGGCGGACGGGUGAGUAACACGUGAGCAACCUACCUUUUGCUGGGGAAUAACAUCGGGAAACCGAUGCUAAUACCGCAUGACAUUCCGAUGGGGCAUCCUGUUGGAAUCAAAGGAGAGAUCCGGCAAGAGAUGGGCUCGCGUCCGAUUAGCUGGUUGGUGAGGUAACGGCUCACCAAGGCGACGAUCGGUAGCCGGACUGAGAGGUUGGACGGCCACAUUGGGACUGAGACACGGCCCAGACUCCUACGGGAGGCAGCAGUGGGGAAUAUUGGGCAAUGGGGGAAACCCUGACCCAGCAACGCCGCGUGAAGGACGAAGGCCUUCGGGUCGUAAACUUCUUUGAUCAGGGACGAAAGCGAUGACGGUACCUGAGGAACAAGCCACGGCUAACUACGUG
rnacentral:rRNA from 1 species